rnacentral:rRNA from 1 species
UACGGAGGGUGCGAGCGUUGUCCGGAAUCACUGGGCGUAAAGGGCGCGUAGGCGGCCGGCCAAGUCGGGGGUGAAAGCCUGUGGCUCAACCACAGAAUGGCCCUCGAUACUGGACGGCUCGAGACCGGAAGAGGUUGGUGGAAUUGCGAGUGUAGAGGUGAAAUUCGUAGAUAUUCGCAAGAACACCGGUGGCGAAGGCGGCCAACUGGUCCGGAUCUGACGCUGAGGCGCGAAAGCGUGGGGAGCAAACAGG